rnacentral:rRNA from 1 species
CAGCCGCCACGGUAAUACGUAGGGUGCAAGCGUUACUCGGAAUUACUGGGCGUAAAGCGUGCGUAGGCGGCUUCUUAAGUCGGAUGUGAAAUCCCUGAGCUUAACUUAGGAAUUGCAUUCGAUACUGGGAAGCUAGAGUAUGGGAGAGGAUGGUAGAAUUCCAGGUGUAGCGGUGAAAUGCGUAGAGAUCUGGAGGAAUACCGAUGGCGAAGGCAGCCAUCUGGCCUAAUACUGACGCUGAGGUACGAAAGCAUGGGGAGCAAACAGGAUUAGAUACCCCGGUAGUCCCUGUCUCUUAUAC